CGCGUGGGAACGUGCCCUUUGGUUCGGAACAACACAGGGAAACUUGUGCUAAUACCGAAUGUGCCCUUCGGGGGAAAGAUUUAUCGCCAUUGGAGCGGCCCGCGUUGGAUUAGCUAGUUGGUGGGGUAAUGGCCUACCAAGGCGACGAUCCAUAGCUGGUCUGAGAGGAUGAUCAGCCACACUGGGACUGAGACACGGCCCAGACUCCUACGGGAGGCAGCAGUAGGGAAUCUUGCGCAAUGGGCGAAAGCCUGACGCAGCCAUGCCGCGUGAGUGAAGAAGGCCUUCGGGUUGUAAAGCUCUUUCGCGAGGGAAGAAAAGGGGCGCUCUAACAUAGCGCUCUGCUGACGGUACCUUGAGAAGAAGCACCGGCUAACUACGUG
rnacentral:rRNA from 1 species